rnacentral:lncRNA from 1 species
CAAGACAAGAAGCAAUGUGAUACAGGUUAUACAUGUACAAUCAUUUUAAAUAUAUUUCCAUAUUUGUCAUGUUGCAAAAGAAAAAUCAGAACAAAAGGGAAAAACUACAAUAAGUGAAAAUAAUAUGCUUCAAUCUGCAGUCAGUCUCCAUAGUUGUCUUUGACAGGAUUUUUAGUUAGGAUCAAAUGAGAUAAUUUUUUGAAAGCACAAUGCCUGGAACAUAAUAGGUGCUUAUUCGCUUCCAUCCUUCUUUGCCCCAUUCUGUUUACACCACUCCUAUAUUAUUGAAUGGAGUUUUUAGAAUAAUAAGGAUAUUGAAAAGCUGAAGACUAUCUGGAGAAGGGAAAUUGAAAGAGUAAAAGCGGUCCAGGAGGACAUUCCAUUUAAAGAUAAGAAGAAAGUACCUGGGGCAUUGAGACUGGAGUGGAGACACCAGAAGAAAACGUGAUAACUAUUUUUAUGUGGUUGAAAGGUUGCCAUGUCGAAGAGUAUUUGUUCCCAGUGGGCAAAACUAGGAACAAUAAGACUGGGGCUUGCAAGGAGCCAAAGGUUAUAAAGUCAAGAAAAACUCCUUAAUAAUUUAUUCCUUUUCAAUAGGUGGAUGGUCUGCCUCAGGAUGAAGUUUUCGCCUCACUAGAAAACUUUGAGCCAAGGUGAGAUAACCCCUUGUUGGCUGUAUUGUAGAAAGAUUGAUUUUUCAGUUACUGGUUAGGAUAGAGGAUCACUGAGGUCUCAUUGAAUUCUAACAUUCUAUGAUUCUGUUAUAUUGGUAUCCUAGGUAACCAGCCUUCUGAAACAACAGGAUGGGGCUCUUGAGGUUUUUCCACUCUCAUUUGAACCUGAGACCUGCUCUCUUGUUUUAACCCUAUAUAACAUAUCAGAGGCUUCCCGAAGCUUCUGACUCUUUUUUCUCCCAAUCCCUUAAACUUGGUUUCUAUUACUCCUCUUUGUCUUGAAGAUAUAUACAAUGAAAGAUGGAGGCUGAGCUUUUCCGUCACUAGGCUGCUCACCAGUUCACAAUUGAGGUUCAUCUGUAUUGAGAUAGGAGCUGUCCUGACGCUCAAAAGUAUCAACCAUGAAUGGCUAUUGCUGAAUUUUCCCUACCCAGCUUAAAUAGAAACCCAUCAAGCAACACCACCUGAACAGCUGUCCAUCAGGAAAAGAGAAAUUUCUGAAUUUUGGAGGACAUUAAGAGGAAUUUGUCUUGGGAGGUAUGUCUACCCACAGCUCAGGCUUAGGUAAGGAGACCCAGAUCCAUAACGCUGUCAUCUCUAAUUCCUUGAAAGCAAAGUUUGUGACCAUUUUUGUGUCCUAGACACCCUAGGUAGUCUGGGGAAGCCUAUGGACCCCUUUUCAGAAGAAUGUUUUAAGUUCAUAAGACAAAAAUACAUAAUAUUACAUAGGAAACCAAGUAUAUUGAAAUAUAGUUAUCAAAAUACUUUAAUUUUUUAAAUCCACAGAAAUACCAUCAUGUUCCUCAUGAGGAUAUGUUUAUUGUGGGCAAUGGUCCAUAUUUAGAAGU